ACGCACGGGUCCGCGGGAGAGCUGCCCACGCCAACAUGGCGGCGUCCGGUUGUGGGGAGUUUUUUCGCUUGGAGUUUUGGCCGGGGCGGGGGUCUGGGCUUUAGGCAGUAAGUGGGUCCGGCGGCCAGAGGUCUUGGGAGGGACGAGGGAGGCGUAGGGCCCGUAAGAGCGGCACCGCCUGAGGAGGACGAGGCGGGAGCUGCCCGGGCCGACCACGGGGCGCGGCGUCCUCCUGGCGUCGGGUCUGCCUUCCUCGUCCGCUGGGGCCUCUGCCGCCUCGCGCCCGGGGCUCCGUAGUGGCUUGGAGGGCUUGAGGGCCUGGCCUCGACCGUGGAGUGGGCGAGACAGGAAUCACGACCACGCGCCCGAGGCUACACUUUCCAAGUUCCAUUUUUUUCUUUUUUUUUUGCGUGUGGUGUUUUUGUUUUUUUUUUCUGGGGAACGGGUUUAAGAAGAAAAUAAUAGCAUUUCAGCGCUUCCUGUUAUUUAGGAACUGGGCUAGGCGUUUUGCAUUGCUCCUCUCCAAGAGACCCUCCUCCACUUUCGAGGGUAAAAUUUAGUUUCACAAUGUUUGGGGACCUAUUUGAAGAGGACUAUUCCAGUGUGUCAAAUAAUCAUUAUGGAAAAGGGAAGAAAUUAAAGACCAAAACUUUGGAGCCAUCUGCUCCUAGAGAAUUCACCAAUUUAAGUGGAAUCAGAAAUCAGGGUGGAACCUGUUACCUCAAUUCCCUUCUUCAGACUCUUCAUUUCACACCUGAAUUCAGAGAAGCUUUGUUUUCUCUUGGCCCAGAGGAGCUCGGUUCAUUAGAGGAUAAGGAUAAGCCUGAUGCAAAGGUCCGAAUCAUACCUUUACAGUUACAGCGGCUGUUUGCACAGCUCCUGCUCUUGGACCAGGAAGCUGCAUCCACAGCAGACCUCACUGACAGCUUUGGAUGGACCAGCAAUGAGGAAAUGAGGCAACAUGAUGUGCAGGAACUGAAUCGAAUUCUCUUUAGUGCUUUGGAAACUUCUUUAGUUGGGACCUCCGGCCAUGACCUCAUCAAUCGUCUGUAUCACGGAACCAUUGUUAACCAGGUUGUUUGUAAAGACUGUAAGAAUGUCAGUGAAAAGCAGGAAGACUUCUUAGAUCUCACAGUGGCUGUCAAGAAUGUAUCAAGUUUGGAAGAUGCCCUCUGGAACAUGUAUGUAGAAGAGGAAGUUUUUGACUAUGACAACUUAUACCACUGUGGAACUUGUGACAAGCUGGUUAAAGCAGCAAAGUCGGCCAAAUUACGUAAGCUGCCUCCCUUUCUCACUGUUUCAUUACUAAGAUUUAAUUUUGAUUUUGUGAAGUGUGAACGAUACAAGGAAACUAGCUGCUAUACAUUCCCUCUCCGGAUCAACCUCAAGCCUUUUUGUGAACAGAGUGAAUUAGAUGACUUGGAAUAUAUGUAUGACCUCUUCUCGGUUAUUAUACACAAGGGUGGUUGCUAUGGAGGACACUAUCAUGUGUAUAUUAAAGACGUUGAUCAUUUGGGAAACUGGCAGUUUCAAGAGGACAAAAGUAACCCAGAUGUGAAUUUAGAAGAUCUUCAGAGUGAAAAAGAGAUUGAUGAUCCAUUGAUGAUUCUAAAAGCAAUCUUAUUACAGGAGGAGAGUAAUCAAAUUCCUGUUGAUCAGCUGGGCCAGAAACUCUUGAAAAAGAAAGGAGUGUCUUGGAAUAAGAAGUACAGAAAACAGUAUGGACCACUGCGAAAGUUCUUACAGCUUCACUCUCAGAUGUUUCAGCUCAGUUCAGAUGAAAGAACAGUGAGUCUGUUGAAGGACCGUUCUCUCCAGGCUGAGUCUGAUUUCCAAAGGAGUGAUCAAAAGACAAGUACUUCAGAGUCCCCAGGUUUAAACGAUAGACCCUCCUGUCCCCACUGGUUUGAUAUAAAUGACGCCAAAGUCCAGCCAAUCAAGGAAAAGGAUAUUGAACAGCAAUUUCAGGGUAAAGAAAGUGCCUACAUGUUGUUUUAUCGGAAAUCCCAGUUGCAGAGACCCCCUGAAGCUCGAGCUAACCCAAGAUACAGGGUUCCAUGUCAUUUGCUGAAUGAAAUGGAUGCAGCCAACAUUGAACUACAAAUGAAAAGGGCAGAAUGUGAUUCUACAAACAAUAGUUUUGAAUUGCAUCUCCACCUCGGCCCCCAUUAUCAUUUCUUCAAUGGGGCUCUGCACCCAGUAGUCUCACAAACAGAAAGCAUGUGGGAUUUGACCUUUGAUAAAAGAAAAACUUUAGGAGAUCUUCGACAAUCAAUAUUUCAGCUGUUAGAAUUUUGGGAAGGAGAUAUGGUUCUUAGUAUUGCCAAGUUUGUGCCAGCAGGACUUCACGUUUACCAGACACUUGAUGGAGAUGACCUGACACUGUGUGAAACUGAGAUUGCUGAUGGGGAAGACAUCUUUGUCUGGAAUGGGGUGGAGGUUGGUGGAAUCCAGAUUCCAACCGGUAGUGACUGUGAACCUCUGCUUUUAAAUGUUCUUCAUCUGGGCACAAGCAGCGAAGGAGAGGAGAGUCAGCAGUUGGUGGAAUCUCCGCAUGUCUUUCCAUCUAACGCGGAACUAGGCACUGUGUUCGCAGCCUUGUCAGUCCCAGAAGGGGUCGUCUUAAUCAACAGCACCACAUCUCUAGGUGAGGAGAGCUGGACCGCCCUUGCCAAGGAAGACUUGAAGAAGACUUUCAGAGAACAAGGUCUCAGAAAUGGAAGCACAGUUUUAAUUCAGGAUUCUAAUGAUGAUAGCAGUUUUUUGACCAAACAAGGGAAAUGGAUCACUAGUACGAAUGAGAUUGACUGGCUCCAAGUUAAAAAUUUAUGCCAAUUAGAAUCUGAAGAGGAGCAAGUUAAAAUAUCAGCAACUCUUAACACAGUGGUGUUUGAUAUUCGAACUAAAGCCAUAAAGGAAUUAAAAUUAAUGAAGGAACUAGCUGAAAACAGCUGUUUGAGGCCUAUUGACAGAAAGGGGAAGCUUCUUUGUCCAGUGCCAGACAGUUACACUUUGAAGGAAGCAGAAUUGAAGCCGGGGAGUUUAUUGGGCCUCUGUCCUGGAAAAGCACCGACAUCUUCUCAGCUAUUCCUGUUUUUUGCUGUCGGGAGUGAUGUUCAGCCUGGGACAGAGAUGGAGAUCAUAGUGGAAGAAACAGUAUCUGUAAGAGGUUGUUUAAAGAUAAUGCUGGAGAAAUCUGGCCUGUCAGGAGACACAUGGCAUUUACGAAAAAUGGAUUGGUGCUUUGAAGCUGGGGAGCCUUUAUGUGAAGAAGAUGCAACACUGAAAGAGCUUAUGAUAUGUUCUGGAGAUACCUUGCUUUUAAUUGAAGGAAAACUUCCUCCUCUGGGCUUCCUGAAGGUGCCCAUCUGGUGGUACCAGCCACGGGGUCCCUGGCGUCACUGGCAUCAUCAGGACCAGAUGGACUGUACCUUUGCUCAAGGUGCUCCUGGUGACAGGCAGGCGGAAGUUUCUCUCCACUACUUGGGAGACAUUGAAAUCUCAGAAGAUGCCACCCUGGGGGAGCUGAAGUCUCAGUUACAGUCUGUUCUGAUAUGGCAUGUGUUAUAUGCCAUGUUCAGGGGUGAGUACCCAACAGGCCACACGCGCAUAGAGCCCACACAGCCCCUGGGUUUGUUUCUGCCCCAUGGCUUUCAUUUAUCCCCUGACAGGCAUGCUGUGCUUUCAUUUGAGCAUCUCCUCAGUGACGUGCAGCUCAUGUUCAUUUUGAGUUGUUAGGGACGCAUUCGUUGGAACAUUCGUGAAGCAUUCACCUUACUCCUUUAUUUACAUUGUUUUGUGUCAUCGUGAUUCAUGUGUUAAAUGUUGUUAGUUAAAAGCUGUGUUGUCCCUGGCCCAGGAGGUCAGACUGUCAGCUAGAUGUUAGGGUGUUAAAUGAAAAUGGAUUGUUUGCUGGGGUAUCAGCAUCCACAGGCAGAGAGUCUUCCCAAAAUGCUGAAGAAAUGUCUCACUCUCGUUAGAUUAAAACGAACAUCCUUUUUUCCUCUUAGAGGAAAAGAUGUGGGAGCAUGUGAGAUGAAUUCGUCAGUCUCUGGCAAAUGACUUUUCUUGUGUGUCCUCAGCCUAUGAAAUACCUUCCUCAAAAAAAGCAAGUUGUCUUAGUCUCAUUAGAAAAGUAGAGAGACUUUUUUUUUUCUUGUAUUGGAUUAAAAGACACAAAAAUGCUAUUUCUAGAUUUAAAAUGGAUGAAUAUUGGCCUUUUCAUAUAUAAUGCAACCCAAAUAUAUAGAUAGUUACCUAUCCUUUCAGAAUUAGUACAGCAGUUUGGGCCUCACAGUUGGGAUCCAGAGAUUCUGCAGCAUUUCAAAAUCAAAAGAAAUGCCCUUGGCAGAGCACUUGAGGAUCAGAGUCUGCUUUUGCCAGCGUGGUCCCUGCUCCUGUGAGUUAUCGUCAUGGAGAAAUGAGUUUUAAAGUCUCAUUUUUGAAAACAGUCGUUGAAAAAAGGAGUUUUUGGCUCAGAUUCAGGCCGUUUCAGUAGAGAGGCAUAUCAACAUUAGCCAGGACAAAUUUAAGAGAUACUCCUGUGGAUUUUUGUCAUUACUCAAUAUUAUCAUUACUCAAGAUGCUCUCUUCCUCAGAUAUCAUUGUGUUGCGCUUCGUUUUCCCCUAAAGCAAUCUGUCUGUAAGAGCGCUUUUGCAAAUGUCUGUUUCCUUUCUAGGCCCUGACCUUGCCGAACUUCUCGGAGUUUCCCGUCCCUUCCCCAGCCUUCCUCAGAGCCUGGACGGUGGAGUACAAGCGGCCCGGCAGACUCUUACGCGUCCACCAGCAGCAGCUCAAGGAAUAUAAGUUGGGGAAGAGAACUGAGAUCUGCUUAGAGCCCCUUCAGAAAGAAGAACACUUGGGCCCCCAGGAUGUGCUGCUGAGGACACAGAUGCGCCUCCCUGGCAAGAGGGCAUAUGCUCUGCCCGUGGACUUAGUGUGGGACACGGCCCGAGGCUGGACGGCUGGCUCCCUGAGGCAGCGAGUAGCCAAUUUCUGUUCUCUUCCUGUGGAGAAAAUCGAAAUUGCCAAAUACUUUCCUGAAAAGUUUGAGUGGCUUCCAAUAUCUAGCUGGAACCAGCAAAUUACUAAGAAAAAGAAGAAGAAAAAGCAAGAUAAUUUGCAGGGGGCACCUUAUUAUUUGAAAGAUGGAGAUACUAUUGGUAUUAAGAUGUAGGCUCAAAGUGACUGAGGACCUUGUCGUUACCUGUUUUGACCUGCAGAACCUCCUGCUCGAAGACGACGACGAUUUCAGCACAGACGGAGAUGACGCCGGGAGAGGACAACAGGAACUGCUCGCUCUGGGGAGGAAGCAAAGCCACGAAGCCCUUCGCGUGCAGAGCAGCGACAACGUCUCUGGUGCAGAGAUGCCUGCCCGGCCCCGUGGACCAGAAGCUUCUCUCUCCAUCCGCGUGGGGAGUUUCCGAUAGCGUCGGCAGGCGGUGCUGCCCGGACGCGGGGCCUCAGCUUCGCUCCAGGUCGCCGGCCUGUUCCCGCGAGCGGCUCUGCCCCUGCCUGUGCGACACCGACUCCAACCCCCGGCUCUGCCAUCUUGGGCCAGGCAGGUGACCAGUCACCGGCUUCGCGGCGCAUCCACCCGGGGCCGGCACUGACUGGCCGUCCUCCAGGUGCCAACCCCGGCCGUUUGGCCGAGAACAUUGCCGGUUUCGCAGCCGCGGACGGCACGGCGUGUUGCUCGCCUCUGACAGAGCCACGGCCGGCGCCCCUGCCCGCGCGCUUCCCUCGGCGGCCGGGGCUGGCCGGGCUCUCCUGCCACGUAAACUGGCGUGUUUUCUGUUCCCCUGUGGUUUGAGUUCACACCGAGUCUAAAGCCGCCUCUUUCUGGGGGGAGCAGCCCCGCGAGGCCUGCGAGGUCAAGCCGCCUCCGGCGGGUGCUGCCGGCGGGGGCGCCGAGGGCCUGGCUCUGCGCAGCGGGGAAAGGAAGUGGGACCCGAGUCUACCCGGUGCCGCCUGGCUGGCUAACUUCAGGGGUUUCGGUGGGUUCGUGGCAAAUGCAGCAUCGGCAGGGAUGCCGCGCUGACUGAGGACACAGGCCGGUCACGUUCUCAGACCCACUCCGUCGAAGCAAGACUCUGAGAAGACGCCAGGAAGCCCUUGCUUGGCCCUCUCGUGACCCGGCGCUCUUGACUCCCACGGGCGCUCCUCAGCCUCUCGAGCGGGGAGCUGAAAACAGCACCUCUGACGGCGAAGAGGCCGAAGCAUCCGGCCGCAGGGAGCUGGCGGGCGGCCCUGCGACAGAGUGGCCGCUCGCGGGAUGAACGACCUGCUUUCCUCCUCUGUCCUCCAGACACCGUCAGAGCCACUGACAGGAGCUCUCAUCUCCUCCGUGGUCCGUCUGAAGUGGUUGGGUUGCCGGUUAGGUACCGAUUUGUCUAGAAGCAGCUGCGUUGUAAGAAGUCGAACUCCGGCGGGUCCUGGGCCUCAAACGCUGGAGCCUCGCAUCCGUCUCGGGAGACCCGCGCGGGGUGGAGGCGCCUGGUGGGCUGCGGGCUGCCCCGCGGUAAGCGUUUCAGCGGCCUAGAAGCUGUUCUGUCCCUUUUACGUUACCUGGCAGGGCCCCUCGUGCCCUUCGUUGCCCUGUAAUAAAACAGACGUAAUAACCGAAAAGCCCAAAGCCAGAGACCUCGCUGGGCGGCACUUACCAGGAGGAACACGGGUCAAGGUGCCUUGUGGUGUCCAGGCCUCAGGGGCCUCUGCUUGUCAGCUGGCUCCCCUCCUUCCUUCCCUCUUAAAAAAAUUCUGGGUUGGGGGAGUGCCUGUCAUCGCUCAUGGGAAACGAAUCUUACUAGGAUCCAUGAGGAUGCAGGUUCGAUCCCUGGCCUCGCUCAGUGGUCAAGGAUCUGGCAUUGCCAUGAGCUGUGGUGUAGGUCACAGAUGCGGCUCAGAUCCAGCGUUGCUGUGGCUGUGGCGUAGGCCAGUGGGUACAGCUCGCAUUUGACCCCUAGCCUAGAAACCUCCAUAUGCUGGGGUGCGGCCCUAAAAAAAAAAUUCAGGGUUGGAGUGGGGCCACAGGGAGAGAGCUGUAAGUUUCUGUUAAAAAAUAAAUGGUUCAAUUUGUA